GACAGAGGGUGCAAACGUUGUUCGGAAUUACUGGGCGUAAAGCGCGUGUAGGCGGCCAUGCAAGUCGGAUGUGAAAGCCCUCGGCUCAACCGGGGAAGUGCACUCGAAACUGCAAGGCUAGAGUCUCGGAGAGGAUCGUGGAAUUCUCGGUGUAGAGGUGAAAUUCGUAGAUAUCAAGCGGAACACCGGUGGCGAAGGCGGCGACCUGGGUAGAUACUGACGCUGAGGCGCGAAAGCCAGGGGAGCGAACGGG
rnacentral:rRNA from 1 species